UACAGAGGUCCCAAGCGUUGUUCGGAUUCAUUGGGCGUAAAGGGCUCGUAGGCGGCCAACUAAGUCGGAUGUGAAAUCCCCAGGCUCAACCUGGGAACUGCAUCCGAUACUGGAUGGCUUGAAUUCGGGAGAGGGAUGCAGAAUUCCAGGUGUAGCGGUGAAAUGCGUAGAUAUCUGGAGGAACACCGGUGGCGAAGGCGGCGUUCUGGACUGCAACUGACACUGAAAGACGAAAGCCAGGGGAACAAACGGG
rnacentral:rRNA from 1 species